AUGGCCGCAGUAUUUUGACUGUGCAAAGGUAGCAUAAUUAUUAGUUUUUUAAUUGAAAGCUUGUAUGAAGGGUUGGACGAGAUAAAAUCUGUCUUUAUUUAAAUUAAAAUAGAAUUUAACUUUUAAGUCAAAAGGCUUAAAUGUUUGUAAAAGACGAGAAGACCCUAUAGAUCUUUAUUAAAUUUAAAUUUUGAUAAUUUAAGAUUAUUUUAAUUUGAAGUUUAAAUUUAAUUUUAUUGGGGUAAUAUAAAGAUUAAAUAAAUUCUUUUUAUUAAUUACAUUAAUUUAUGUAUAUAUGAUCCAUUAUUAUUGAUUAUAAGAUUAAGUUACCUUAGGGAUAACAGCGUAAUUUUUUUAGAGAGCUCAUAUCGAUAAAAAAGUUUGCGACCUCGAUGUUGGAUUAAAAAUUAGCUUGGGUGCAGAAGCUCAAGAUUUUGGUCUGUUCGACCAUUAAAUUUUUACAUGAUCUGAGUUCAGACCGGCGUAAGCCAGGUCGGUUUCUAUCUUUAUUUAAAUAAAAUAUUUUAGUACGAAAGGACCAAGUAUUUAAUAUAAUUAUAUUUAUUUUUUGAAUAAUAUU
rnacentral:rRNA from 1 species